UACGGAGGGUGCAAGCGUUAUCCGGAUUCACUGGGUUUAAAGGGUGCGUAGGAGGACAGGUAAGUCAGUGGUGAAAUCUCCGAGCUUAACUCGGAAACUGCCGUUGAUACUAUCUGCCUUGAAUACCGUGGAGGUGAGCGGAAUAUGUCAUGUAGCGGUGAAAUGCUUAGAUAUGACAUAGAACACCAAUUGCGAAGGCAGUUCACUACACGAAUAUUGACUCUGAGGCACGAAAGCGUGGGGAUCAAACAGG
rnacentral:rRNA from 1 species